UACGUAGGGGGCAAGCGUUGUCCGGAAUCAUUGGGCGUAAAGAGCGUGUAGGCGGCUCGAUAAGUCUGCUGUGAAAGUCCAGGGCUCAACCCUGGAAGGCCGGUGGAAACUGUCGGGCUAGAGUCCGGAAGAGGCGAGUGGAAUUCCCGGUGUAGCGGUGAAAUGCGCAGAGAUCGGAAAGAACACCAACGGCGAAAGCACUCUGCUGGGCCGACACUGACACUGAGAGACGAAAGCUAGGGGAGCGAAUGGG
rnacentral:rRNA from 1 species